rnacentral:rRNA from 1 species
GUAGGGACCAAGCGUUGUUCGGAUUUACUGGGCGUAAAGGGCGCGUAGGCGGCGUGUUAAGUCAGCUGUGAAAUCUCCGAGCUUAACUCGGAACGGUCAGCUGAUACUGAUGUGCUAGAGUGCAGAAGGGGCAAUCGGAAUUCUUGGUGUAGCGGUGAAAUGCGUAGAUAUCAAGAGGAACACCUGAGGUGAAGACGGGUUGCUGGGCUGACACUGACGCUGAGGCGCGAAAGCCAGGGGAGCAAACGGGAUUAGAUACCCCGGUAGUCCUGGCCCUAAACGAUGAAUACUUGGUGUCUGGAGUUAUUAUUGCUCCGGGUGCCGUCGCUAACGUUUUUAGUAUUCCGCCUGGGGAGUACGGUCGCAAGACUG